rnacentral:rRNA from 1 species
AUUGAACGCUGGCGGAAUGCUUUACACAUGCAAGUCGAACGGUAGAGGGGGCAACCCCUCGAGAGUGGCGAACGGGUGAGUAGUAUAUCGGAACGUGCCCAGUCGUGGGGGAUAACGUAGCGAAAGUUACGCUAAUACCGCAUACGAUCUAAGGAUGAAAGCGGGGGAUCGCAAGACCUCGCGCGAUUGGAGCGGCCGAUAUCAGAUUAGGUAGUUGGUGGGGUAAAGGCUCACCAAGCCAACGAUCUGUAGCUGGUCUGAGAGGACGACCAGCCACACUGGAACUGAGACACGGUCCAGACUCCUACGGGAGGCAGCAGUGGGGAAUUUUGAACAAUGGACGCAAGUCUGAUCCAGCCAUUCCGCGUGCAGGAUGAAGGCCCUCGGGUUGUAAACUGCUUUUGUACGGAACGAAAAGGUCUCUCUUAAUACGGGGGACUCAUGACGGUACCGUAAGGAUAAGCACCGGCUAACUACGUGCCAGCAGCCGCCGUAACAC